CUCCCACCCGUGACUAUUGUACCUUGUUGCUUCGGCGGGCCCGCCAGCGUUGCUGGCCGCCGGGGGGCGACUCGCCCCCGGGCCCGUGCCCGCCGGAGACCCCAACAUGAACCCUGUUCUGAAAGCUUGCAGUCUGAGUGUGAUUCUUUGCAAUCAGUUAAAACUUUCAACAAUGGAUCUCUUGGUUCCGGCAUCGAUGAAGAACGCAGCGAAAUGCGAUAACUAAUGUGAAUUGCAGAAUUCAGUGAAUCAUCGAGUCUUUGAACGCACAUUGCGCCCCCUGGUAUUCCGGGGGGCAUGCCUGUCCGAGCGUCAUUGCUGCCCUCAAGCCCGGCUUGUGUGUUGGGCCCUCGUCCCCCGGCUCCCGGGGGACGGGCCCGAAAGGCAGCGGCGGCACCGCGUCCGGUCCUCGAGCGUAUGGGGCUUCGUCUUCCGCUCCGUAGGCCCGGCCGGCGCCCGCCGACGCAUUUAUUUGCAACUUGUUUUUUUCCAGGUUGACCUCGGAUCAGGUAGGGAUACCCGCUGAACUUAAGCAUAUCAAAAGUCGGGAGGAACC
rnacentral:rRNA from 1 species